CAGGACGGCUGGGAACUAUUGGUUCAGCAUUUUUACAACCGUGAGGGAAAUGGUCCCGGUCAAUUCGUGACAAUUUCCGGUUUUUAAUCCAUACACCUUCUAAUGUAUUUAGAAUAUGGCUCGUUGUGUGACAGUGGAACCCGAAUUCAUCGAGAUCACAGCACCCUUCCAAUCAAACACCCCGAUGCUGCUGCAGAAAACAACUUUCUCGCGUCACCGGAUCAUUUCUCUCCCCUCUCUCUCCCCCUCUCUCCCCCUCUCUGCUGUGAGGAGGAAGAGCUGCAAGAUGAAGUGAAGAGGGAGGACGAAGCAGUGGGACGAGUCUUCUGGUUAAUUGUCCGUUGCUCGGCACUCGACCCCCCCAUCGGCUCAUUAGUUGAGAGUUUCAACCCGCGCGGACGCUCGGGGGGGAGACGAUCGCUGCAGCUUUUACUGUCCUUUAUGUAAUUAAAUGCUAGCAGUUGUUUUAUCGCCGGGUGAUUAAACCCGCCGGCUGAACGCUACGAAGAGAAGAAUCCGAGUGAAAUGAAGUGUAACGUUUUCAGUGUCGUCUCCCUCCCUGACCGUUCACCUCCUCAGCGGAUCGCUACCGACCGAGCUACGACGCGGUGGUCCGCUGCUUGGUGGUGGGGGGGGGGGUCUUCACCACACAUACUGCACCCACCGGCCUGCCACCGUUUGUAUUCAGGUCCACACGGGAUGACGUUCCUGGACCUCAUUGUGGUUUUGUUGUCUCAAGGUAACUUCAGUUGUAGUAAUUCACAUUGCAGCCGUACAGGUCCUUGGGGACGGCUGUCCAGAGACCCCCAGAGGACUCGUGUCUCUCUUCUAUCACGCAGUAACAGUGAUAACGAGCCGCUGUAAGUGGCAGCUUACUGAAUAAAGGAGAGGCUGAAGGGUCUGGAACCCGGGUCGGACUCGGCUGCCCUGUCGAUGACGAGCGAGUCUUUGCUCAGGCCCCCCCCCCACGUUUACUGUGUGACUCCUUCUACGGGUCCGUCUGUGUAUUUCAUGCAGGGUCAACAGUAGUUUUGACCCUGAAUUAGCUGCAUCCUUGCAGGAAACUUAUUUGAUGAAUGAUUUAAAAUAGAUCCAAUGCGAAUGGUGCCACUUUGCCACAUGUGGCGUCGUCAGGUGAGUAUUGAUGAAGUACAUGAAAGGGAAGAUGGAGGCGCCGGGACACAAAGGAUGGGCAGCAAAUCCUGGGAAGCUCAGAACAUGUUGCUCCUCAUUCUCAGUCAGAGGUGUAAAUGAAUUGUUUCUGAAGCUGUGUCCUGUUGCUGGGGGCAGAUAUCCCGAGGGGGGCAGAUAUCCCGAGGGGUGUGACGCGGGCAAAAGGAAACCACUUGAGACUAAUAGUCACGUUGAACUGCCGUAUCUAGGCCAUCAUGAAGAAGCGUUGAGGCGGCCUGGUAGAGGAACGUGCCUCAGCCCACGAGAUGAAGUCGUCACAGAAGUCGGAGGACGGCGCCAGAGAGAGAGAGAGAGAGAGAGAGAGAGAGAGAGAGAGAGAGAGAGAGAGAGAGAGAGAGAGAGAGAGAGAGAGAGAGAGAGAGAGAGAGAGAGAGAGAGAGAGAGAGAGAGAGAGAGAGAGAGAGAGAGAGAGAGAGGGAGAGAGAGAGAGAGAGAGAGGGAGGGAGAGAGAGAGAGAGAGAGAGAGAGAGAGAGAGAGAGAGAGAGAGAGAGAGAGAGAGGGAGGGAG
ensembl:lncRNA